rnacentral:lncRNA from 1 species
AUGGGAAGGGUGCAUCUUAAAGGAAGUUCUUUCGAGAGCAUCAGUCUGGAUCUCAAACUCAGAUUCCCCUCCACGACCUGUUUCCCUGUGUGUAAGUGGAGACCUCGGUCCCUGCCUUGUGGGGCUUCGCUGAGGCCCAGCGUGACGCUGAGCGAGGAGAGAAGGUCUCGUGCCCGGCCGGGCAGCCUGAGCCGGGUUAUUUAUGGGUUUCCGCCGGGAGGGGGCCGCGGGCCGCGCGCCGUGUCUGACCUGAAUUCUUACACUUACAGGAAAUUGGAGCCCUUGGAAGCAGGUGCGCUGGUGAUCCCAGCACCCGGGUGGCCGCGAGGAAUUGCAACCCGAGAUGGAGAGAUUUCUUCUCAUUCCAGCAACCUAGGAAGACUUCCUGCACAAGGCGACAGGCUGGUACAAUGGCGAGAAGGCUGGCUUUGGGCCGGGAAGUUCUUUCCACAUCUGGCCACCUCCUCUCCUGCUUUGCGUCCAUUUCUCCUAGUUCAAGGACUUCCUCUUAGCCAACCCCAGCCUCCCCCACCACUUCCGAGGAUCCCGAGCUCGGACGCCGCCUGGCACGGAGCCGGUCAUAACUGGACACCUGCGCUGCCCCAGCGCACGCACCUGGCUGAAGCUCCCUUCCGUCCUGGGAGCUUGCUGGUGUCUUAGAGCCGUGUUUCCUGGGAAGACACAGAGGACAGAG